CUUUAUUGGAGAGUUUGAUCCUGGCUCAGGAUGAACGCUGGCGGCGUGCCUAAUACAUGCAAGUCGAGCGAAUGGAUUAAGAGCUUGCUCUUAUGAAGUUAGCGGCGGACGGGUGAGUAACACGUGGGUAACCUGCCCAUAAGACUGGGAUAACUCCGGGAAACCGGGGCUAAUACCGGAUAACAUUUUGAACCGCAUGGUUCGAAAUCGAAAGGCGG
rnacentral:rRNA from 1 species